UACAGAGGGUGCGAGCGUUAAUCGGAAUUACUGGGCGUAAAGCGUGCGUAGGCGGCUAUCUAAGUCGGGCGUGAAAGCCCCGGGCUCAACCUGGGAAUUGCAUUCGAGACUGAAUAGCUAGGGUACGGUAGAGGGAAGCGGAAUUUCCGGUGUAGCGGUGAAAUGCGUAGAUAUCGGAAGGAACAUCAGUGGCGAAAGCGGCUUCCUGGACCAGUACCGACGUUCAGGCACGAAAGCGUGGGGAGCAAACAGG
rnacentral:rRNA from 1 species